CGAUUAGCUUGUUGGUGAGGUAACGGCUUACCAAGGCGAUGAUCGGUAGGUGGCCUGAGAGGGUGGUCACCCACACUGGGAUUGAGAUACUGCCCAGACUCCUACGGGAGGCAGCAGUCUAGAAGCUUCUACAAUGGACGAAAGUCUGAUAGAGCGACGCCGCGUGCGGGAUUGAAGGCCGUGAGGUUGUAAACCGCUGUCAGCAGGGAAGAAUGCCCGGAUGGUGAAUCCGGGAGUGACGGUACCUGCAGAGGAAGCCCUGGCUAACUCCGUGCCAGCAGCCGCGGUAAUACGGAGAGGGCAAACGUUGUUCGGAAUUACUGGGCGUAAAGGGUGCGUAGGCGGUUCGGUCAGUCUGGUGUGAAAGCCCCGGGCUUAACUCGGGAACUGCACUGGAAACUGCCGAGCUCGAGGAUGGGAGAGGCAGGUGGAAUUCCUGGUGUAGCGGUGGAAUGCGUAGAUAUCAGGAAGAACACUCGUGGCGAAGGCGGCCUGCUGGCCCAUUUCUGACGCUGAGGCACGAAAGCCAGGGGAGCGAACGGGAUUAGAUACCCCGGUAGUCCUGGCCGUAAACGGUGACAC
rnacentral:rRNA from 1 species